AUUGAACGCUGGCGGAAUGCUUUACACAUGCAAGUCGAACGGCAGCACGGACUUCGGUCUGGUGGCGAGUGGCGAACGGGUGAGUAAUGUAUCGGAACGUGCCCAGUCGUGGGGGAUAACGUAGUGAAAAUUACGCUAAUACCGCAUACGAUCGAUGGAUGAAAGCGGGGGAUCGCAAGACCUCGCGCGAUUGGAGCGGCCGAUAUCAGAUUAGGUAGUUGGUGGGGUAAAGGCCCACCAAGCCAACGAUCGGUAGCUGGUCUGAGAGGACGACCAGCCACACUGGAACUGAGACACGGUCCGGACUCCUACGGGAGGCAGCAGUGGGGAAUUUUGGACAAUGGGCGAAAGCCUGAUCCAGCCAUUCCGCGUGCAGGAUGAAGGCCCUCGGGUUGUAAACUGCUUUUGUACAGAACGAAAAGGUUUCUACUAAUACUAGGAGCUCAUGACGGUACUGUAAGAAUAAGCACCGGCUAACUACGUGCCAGCCGCCGCGGUAA
rnacentral:rRNA from 1 species